CCGGGAGCUGGUGGUGGCAGCCCCCCUCUUGGUCCUUGUGAGCCCCAGCCACACCUCCAAAUGCUGGUACCCCCAGGGUAGCACCUGCCCCCGGAUUGUCUACACCCCCUUCCCAAGCAUCAGGGGCCUCCCACGGCCCGGAGAGGCCUCGGCUGCCCGUCGGCACAAGGCUGGGGAUAACUGGGCAGCCCCGGUGUCGAGGCGAGGUGGGGCGCGGGGGUGAAUGCCCCCAGAGCGGGGCGAAAGGCCUCUCGGCUGCCCUCGGGGGAAGGGAGUGUCCCUCGCAGGGGAACAGACGGAGCGCCCUACUCUUAGUCACCGACCUGCCCGCCACGUCGGGAGGAGGUUUUGCAAGCGCAGGCGGCGCUGCCUUAGCGAUGGAAAGCAGGCAUUUCACUGUUGAUGUUCCCCAGUCCUGCCGGCUGACGGUUACUAGGGGAUCCUGAAGGAUGUGUUUCCCUGUGACCCUUUGAGAAGAAAAACUUAGUUGCCGCAGUAACCAAGUUUGGCUUGGAUGCAAUGAUGCAGUAAAUAGCAUAGUUUUCUUCCAGAGUUGUGUCUUUUCUAAAACACUGGUAUUCUGAAGAAAAAAUGGGCUGCUAUACACGAGACCGAUUCUGUUCCCAGCCUGAGGAUCAACAGAGAACUGGGCCGUCAAGCUUACAGAUGCAUCAGGAGUGAGGGGACAGCGAGUGUGUCAGUGCAGGCCACACAGCAGAUAGGUAUGCAUCCAGUCGAUGGAUGAGGCUAUGUGUGUACAUUUCAUUAAGGGAACAAAAGUAACUGGAGCAAACUGUGCAGCUAAUGCUUUUACUCCUUUGAAUUAUUGUCAAGGAGGUAUUGGUAUAAAUAAACAUCCCUCCAGCUUAUUUCACCUCUGAAAGCUACUCACUGUUUUAAGUAAAGGACAUUCAAGGAUGAAUAAUGAAUGUUACUAUUUCUACAUUUUCCGUGAAAUAAUAUGUCAAGCUGAUUUCUCAUAUCAUCUUCUACUAAAAGCUAAAUGUAAUAAUAAAAGAUACAUGAAUGUAAGCAAA